CCCAAGAGAUCGGGAUAACACCUGGAAACAGAUGCUAAUACCGGAUAACAACAGAUGAUGCCUAUCAACUGUUUAAAAGAUGGUUCUGCUAUCACUCUUGGAUGGACCUGCGGUGCAUUAGCUAGUCGGUAGGGUAACGGCCUACCAAGGCGAUGAUGCAUAGCCGAGUUGAGAGACUGAUCGGCCACAUUGGGACUGAGACACGGCCCAAACUCCUACGGGAGGCAGCAGUA
rnacentral:rRNA from 1 species